rnacentral:SRP_RNA from 1 species
GCCGGGCAUGGUGGCACAUGCCUGUAAUCCCAGCUACUCGGGAGGCUGAGGCAGGAGAAUGGCUUGAACCCGGGAGGCGGAGAUUGCAGUGAGCCAAGAUCACUGCAACCUCCGCCUCCCGGGUUCAAGCGAUUCUCCUGUCUCAG